ensembl:snoRNA
AGCACGUGUCUUUGUCUUUGAACUGAUGGACAAAGACUUAAAGACAGGUGCAAAAAUAAAUCUUCUUUUGCAACUCAGAGCUUAUUGUUAAAUAUGAGCUUUGAUGCAUAUAAGAAGUAAUAUG